GAAGAGCACUCCUACGGGAGGCAGCAGUGGGGAAUAUUGCACAAUGGGCGCAAGCCUGAUGCAGCCAUGCCGCGUGUAUGAAGAAGGCCUUCGGGUUGUAAAGUACUUUCAGCAGUGAGGAAGGUGGAUAUGUUAAUAGCAUAUUCAUUUGACGUUAGCUGCAGAAGAAGCACCGGCUAACUCCGUGCCAGCAGCCGCGGUAAUACGGAGGGUGCGAGCGUUAAUCGGAAUUACUGGGCGUAAAGCGCAUGCAGGUGGUUUGUUAAGUCAGAUGUGAAAGCCCGGGGCUCAACCUCGGAAUUGCAUUUGAAACUGGCAAACUAGAGUACUGUAGAGGGGGUAGAAUUUCAGGUGUAGCGGUGAAAUGCGUAGAGAUCUGAAGGAAUACCGGUGGCGAAGGCGGCCCCCUGGACAGAUACUGACACUCAGAUGCGAAAGCGUGGGGAGCAAACAGGAUUAGAUACCCUGGUAG
rnacentral:rRNA from 1 species